ACUUAACUGACCUCAGAUUAAUCUAGUCGACCUCCUAUAAAAAACUAAACAUUUCUUAAUAAAGUUACAGAUUCCAUCAGCUCAGUGGCACAUUGGGUUAAAUUAAAUUCACCAUUACCCAAUGCUAUACCAUCAUUUGAACCACCUGCUUGGUAGCAACCUAUAACUAUGUUUGCAAGUGUUUUGGUUUUACAGCCACAACAAUGCUUAUGUUACUCAUGGCAUAGUGGGCUGCAGCGAUUCCAGUUUCAUAUCUCGGAUCCCAAAUGUCCUUGAUUCUGCUCACUUGUGGCUGCAGUAUCAGUUUUGCAAUGAAACGGCCAGUUAAAUUACAGCUGCACCCAGGGCCGCCAUCAGAAAUUUUGGGGCCCCUGACAAAGCACAAGGUCUGGGGACCCUACCUAGUCCGCUGACAAUGAUGCAGGACUGAAUGUGGUGUGUAUAGUGGAAGUGAAUUAGAAUGUGUGCAAUGGAUGUAGUGUUUGUGUGUAUUAGAUACUGUUUGUGCAGUGAAUGCAGAGUGUGU